rnacentral:rRNA from 1 species
UCGGGAAUUUUGGGCAAUGGGGGAAACCCUGACCCAGCAACGCCGCGUGAAGGAUGAAGUAUUUCGGUAUGUAAACUUCGAAAGAAUAGGAAGAAUAAAUGACGGUACUAUUUAUAAGGUCCGGCUAACUACGUGCCAGCAGCCGCGGUAAUACGUAGGGACCAAGCGUUGUUCGGAUUUACUGGGCGUAAAGGGCGCGUAGGCGACAUGACAAGUCACUUGUGAAAUCUCUGGGCUUAACCCAGAACGGCCAAGUGAUACUGUCGCGCUAGAGUGCAGAAGGGGCAAUCGGAAUUCUUGGUGUAGCGGUGAAAUGCGUAGAUAUCAAGAGGAACACCUGAGGUGAAGACGGGUUGCUGGGCUGACACUGACGCUGAGGCGCGAAAGCCAGGGGAGCAAACGGGAUUAGAUACCCUUGUAGUCCCUGAGCGGGCUGGCAAGGCGCAU